GCCCGUUCAGGGCUGGGACGGGGAUUUGGGGAGCUGUAAAUGCCCAUUGCUGACAGCAUCCAGCAAAUCACGGCCACGCUGCCCUGCUGCCUCCCACGCCCAGCACUAAUAGAGGAUAUUGCUCCCUCUUCUCUGCAUUUGUUGAACUUGUUUGUCUUUUCAUCUGCGACUGUUACUUUCCUUUGUAUUUGAAAUUUGGAACAAGAGGAGAGGUGGGUGUAGGAUUUUUUAAUGACACGUCAGGGGUUUUCCACCACGGUGAGCAAGGAAAGAGCACGAGGAGGCCCCAAGCUGUGACAGCUUAAAUGGAAUGGGAUUUUGGGAAAAUAAUAAAUGAGAUUUGCAAUGGCUCAUUUGAAAUACACAUCACAAUAUUCUUCAUCCCUCGAGCAAAGCAUAUAAAAUAACCUUUAGAAUCUUUAAAUUCAGUCAGAAAACAAAUACAUUUCUCACCUCAUCUGUGCCAGCAAGUUCCAGCUAAAACACAAAUCCUGCAGGUGCUUGUAGCCAGUGUUGAAGCAUUCAGUGGGUCCAGGUUUACAGGGGUGUUGGAGCCAAAAAAAUUUACAAGUAAUUGAACCAUCCAUAUUUAUUUAGACUCUUAAUUGUUGUAAGUUUUGUUGAGAGUUCCCUAGUUUGGGGCUUCUUGCCCUUUUAUCAUGCUGCUCUGCUGUUUGUUUUGCCAGAACCUGCCCCGUGCCCAGCACAUGCAUUCCUGCCUCUCUCCUCAGAGUUCACCAGGACAAGUCCCAAAUGAUCAAAUGAUAUGGAAUUACUGCACCUAUGAAGUGAGUCUCACUGGAGAGCUGCUGCCAGCAGUUGUGAACAGUUUGGAAUCAGCUAAAGAAUGCUGCUUGCAGGCAGAACAGGUGCUGGGGAUGUCACUUCAUUCAAAGCCAAUUGUGCAGGAGAAGAGCUUGUGGGAAGUUCAGUCUGAGCAAUUUGCAAAUGGCCCAAGUCUAAAUUUGGGAUAUUAUUCAGGAACACCCACACACCUACAAAACUCUUGCUAGAAGCUGCCCUCCCUUCUCCCCAGGUCCCCAGGGGUGCUGGGGACAUGCCACAGAACAGCCUUCUGUGCUUCCAAGCCCAGAAGCACAUCCUGAGAUUUUUCUUUUCCUUUCUUUUGGGAGAAGGCUCCUCCUUUUGGGAGAAGGUGUUUUAUUAGAAGGAAAAACUCCUGGAAAAUAUGCUGGAGAAGUAAGUUCUUUA